rnacentral:rRNA from 1 species
GACGAACGCUGGCGGCGUGCUUAACACAUGCAAGUCGAACGGUAAGGCCCUUCGGGGUACACGAGUGGCGAACGGGUGAGUAACACGUGGGUGAUCUGCCCUGCACUUCGGGAUAAGCCUGGGAAACUGGGUCUAAUACCGGAUAGGACUCCGGACUGCAUGGUCUGGGGUGGAAAGCUUUUGCGGUGUGGGAUGGGCCCGCGGCCUAUCAGCUUGUUGGUGGGGUAAUGGCCUACCAAGGCGACGACGGGUAGCCGGCCUGAGAGGGUGACCGGUGACACUGGGACUGAGAUACGGCCCAGGCUCCUACGGGAGGCAGCGGUGGGGAAUAUUGCACAAUGGGCGCAAGCCUGAUGCAGCGACGCCGCGUGAGGGAUGACGGCCUUCGGGUUGUAAACCUCUUUCAGCUAUGACGAAGCGCAAGUGACGGUAGUAGCAGAAGAAGGACCGGCCAACUACGUGCCAGCCGCCGCUGUAA